GCUGGGCAUGGUGGUGUGCACCUGUAGUCCCAGUUACUUGGGAGGCUGAGGUGGGAGGAUCACUUGAGCCUGGGAGAUUGGGACUGCAGUGAGCUAUGAUUGUGCCACUGCACUCCAGCCUGGGCAACAGAGCGAGACCCCAUAUCAA
rnacentral:SRP_RNA from 1 species